AAACUUCGGAAGAAGGGGUGCUCCGGUAACGUGGACUGGCUUGCCCAGCGAGCGUGAGGGAGUUGCAGUGAAAUGGCUCAGGCGACUGUUUACUAAAAACACAGGGCUCUGCAAAGUCGAAAACGACGUAUAGGGUCUGACGCCUGCCCGGUGCCGGAAGGUUAAAGGGAGGGGUUAGCCGCAAGGCGAAGCUCUGAACUGAAGCCCCGGUAAACGGCGGCCGUGACUAUAACGGUCCUAAGGUAGCGAAAUUCCUUGUCGGGUAAGUUCCGACCUGCACGAAUGGCGUAACGAUCUGAGCGCUGUCUCAACGAGUGGCACUGCGAAUUUGUGGUACCGGUGAAGACGCCGGUUGCCCGUGAUAAGACGAAAAGACCCCGUGCACCUUUACUACAACUUAGUAGUGAAUGUUGACGUGUCAUGCGCAGGAUAGGUGGGAGACUAUGAACCGGGCCUCUUGGGGUCCGGGGAGUCAAUGGUGAGAUACCACCCUUGAUACUUCGACGUUCUAACCUCCACCCGUGAUCCGGGUGAGGGACACUGCUAGGCGGGUAGUUUGACUGGGGCGGUCGCCUCCCAAAUUGUAACGGAGGCGCGCGAAGGUUCGCUCAGGCUGUUUGGAAAUCAGCCGUAGAGUGCAAAGGCAUAAGCGAGCUUGACUGCGAGACGUACAUGUCGAGCAGGUGGGAAACCAGGCCUUAGUGAUCCGGUGGUUCCGCAUGGAAGGGCCAUCGCUCAACGGAUAAAAGGUACGCCGGAUAACGGGCUGAUCGCUUCCAAGAGUUCACAUCGACGAAGCGGUUUGGCACCUCGAUGUCGGCUCAUCGCAUCCUGGAGCUGUAGCAGGUUCCAAGGGUCCGGCUGUUCGCCGGUUAAAGCGGUACGUGAGCUGGGUUUAGAACGUCGCGAGACAGUUCGGUCUCUAUCUAUCAUGGGCGCAGGAGAUUUGAGUGGGGCUGACCUUAGUACGAGAGGACCGGGUUGGACGAACCUCCAGUAUACCGGUUGUCGCGCCAGCGGCAGCGCCGGGUAGCUGCGUUCGGAAGGGAGGAACGCUGAAGGCAUCUAAACGUGAAACCCUCCACAAGAUGAGAUCUCCCCAGCCGAAAGGCUCUGAAGGCUCCUGGAAGACUACCAGGUGAUAGGCCAGGUGUGUAAGCGUGGCGACACGCUCAGCUUACUGGUACUAAUCAGCCGUGAGGCUUGAC
rnacentral:rRNA from 1 species